rnacentral:rRNA from 1 species
CCGGUCGCCUCGGAAACGCUGCGCGCACCGGAGGCGAAUCUUGUCUAGAACGACCCGAGAACGUUGAAACAUCACCGGCAACGGAUAUCUCGGCUCUCGCAUCGAAGAAGAACGUAGCAAAAUGCGAUACUUGGUGUGAAUUGCAGAAUCCCGUGAACCAUCGAGUCUUGGAACGCAAGUUGCGCCCCAAGCCUUCUGGCCGAGGGCAUGUCUGCCUGGGUGUCACAAAUCGUCGUCCCCCCAUCCGCUCGAGGAUAUGGGACGGAAGCUGAUCUCCCGUGUGUUACCGCACGCGGUUGGCCAAAAUCCGAGCUAAGGACGUCAGGAGCGUCUUGACAUGCGGUGGUGAAUUUAAUUCUCGUCAUAUAGUCAGACGUUCCGGUCCUAAAGCUCUUGAUGACCCAAAGUCCUCAACGCGACCCCAGGUCAGGCGGGAUCACCCGCUGAG